GACGAACGCUGGCGGCGUGCUUAACACAUGCAAGUCGUACGGUAAGGCCCUUUCGGGGGUACACGAGUGGCGAACGGGUGAGUAACACGUGAGUAACCUGCCCACAACUUUGGGAUAACGCUAGGAAACUGGUGCUAAUACUGGAUAUGUGCUCCUGCUGCAUGGUGGGGGUUGGAAAGCUCCGGCGGUUGUGGAUGGACUCGCGGCCUAUCAGCUUGUUGGUGGGGUAGUGGCCUACCAAGGCGGCGACGGGUAGCCGGCCUGAGGGGGUGACCGGCCACAUUGGGACUGAGAUACGGCCCAGACUCCUACGGGAGGCAGCAGGGGGGAAUAUUGCACAAUGGGCGCAAGCCUGAUGCAGCAACGCCGCGUGCGGGAUAACGGCCUUCGGGUUGUAAACCGCUUUCAGCAGGGACGAAGCUUUUUGUGACGGUACCUGCAGAAGAAGCACCGGCUAACUACGUG
rnacentral:rRNA from 1 species